UGGGGGAUAUUGCACAAUGGGCGAAAGCCUGAUGCAGCGACGCCGCGUGGGGGAUGAAGGCUUUCGGGUUGUAAACCUCUUUCGCUAUCGAACAAGGCCCGCUUAGGGUGGGUUGAGGGUAGGUGGAGAAGAAGCGCCGGCUAACUACGUGCCAGCAGCCGCGGUAAUACGUAGGGCGCGAGCGUUGUCCGGAAUUAUUGGGCGUAAAGGGCUUGUAGGCGGCUUGUUGCGCCUGCUGUGAAAACGCGGGGCUUAACUUCGCGCGUGCAGUGGGUACGGGCAGGCUUGAGUGUGGUAGGGGUGACUGGAAUUUCAGGUGUAGCGGUGGAAUGCGCAGAUAUCUGGAGGAACACCGAUGGCGAAGGCAGGUCACUGGGCCAUUACUGACGCUGAGGAGCGAAAGCAUGGGUAGCGAACAGG
rnacentral:rRNA from 1 species